rnacentral:rRNA from 1 species
UACGUAGGGUGCAAGCGUUGCCCGGAUCUAUUGGGCGUAAAGGGCGCGUAGGCGGCUCUGCACGUCCGUUGUGAAAUCGCCCGGCUCAACUGGGCGGGGUCAGCGGAUACGGCAGAGCUUGAGCAAGCUAGGGGGCAAUGGAAUUCCCGGUGUAGUGGUGGAAUGCGUAGAUAUCGGGAGGAACACCAGUGGCGAAGGCGGUUGCCUGGGGCUUUGCUGACGCUGAUGCGCGAAAGCGUGGGGAGCGAUCCGG